rnacentral:rRNA from 1 species
UACGUAGGGUGCGAGCGUUGUCCGGAAUUAUUGGGCGUAAAGAGCUUGUAGGCGGUUUGUCGCGUCUGCUGUGAAAAUCCGGGCUCAACCCCGGACUUGCAGUGGGUACGGGCAGACUAGAGUGUGGUAGGGGAGACUGGAAUUCCUGGUGUAGCGGUGAAAUGCGCAGAUAUCAGGAGGAACACCAAUGGCGAAGGCAGCACUCU